UACGAAGGGGGCUAGCGUUGCUCGGAAUUACUGGGCGUAAAGCGCACGUAGGCGGCUUCUUAAGUCGGUGGUGAAAUCCUGGAGCUCAACUCCAGAACUGCCUUCGAUACUGGGAGCUCGAGUCCGGGGAGAGGUGAGUGGAACUGCGAGUGUAGAGGUGAAAUUCGUAGAUAUUCGCAAGAACACCAGUGGCGAAGGCGGCUCACUGGCCCGGUACUGACGCUGAGGUGCGAAAGCGUGGGGAGCAAACAGG
rnacentral:rRNA from 1 species